ACCCUGGAAAUACACACCUUUAGAAAAAUACUACGGUUUUAUUUGCUUGGUUUUUAAACCUAUGUAUGGACUUCUAAUUGAUAUUGUACAUGGAUUUAGGAUGUCCCAUGGCUGUUUUGGUGUAUCUGUCAUUUUUCUGCUGAGAUUGCUACACAAAUCUGGUCCACUUCUGCGGUCCAUGGUCCACAUUGUUUUAGUAUAUAAUACAGAAAUAGGGAUGGAAUUUCAUUCAUAGACCCCUAAACCCUAGUACUACAUGUACACCUACCCUCGAUAAAUGAACAGGUGGCAUUAAGGAUAGAGUGGAUGACACAAUGGGCUGGACAGAAUGGGCAAUGGCAAUGGCUAUGGGUGCAGCAAAGAUUGAGCAGGGCCACGUAUAUUCUAUGUCCAACUAAAAGCAAUGAUGCUCUAUGCAACUGCCUAGGGGUGAGGGUCCACGUGGCUGUAGCCCAUUUUCUAACAACUGCAUAGAGUGGAGUUGUGAAGGAUUCCAUCCUAUCAUUACAUUCCCAAUGCUCCAGUAUCCGCAUUAAAAAGACAACAGUAAUAAUGUAUCAUCCCUCGCAGUGAUCGUCGGUGGUAACUUUAAAUAUCAACAGAUUUACUGGUGUCUCAGAACCCAAUGGUGCAUCUCUGACUGUUUGCAGGUGAAGGAAACAAACUUGGAUUGGUUCCUAGAUGAUUGGAAUACAUACUGUUCACAUAGAGGACGUAUUUUUUAAAAAUAUUCUUUUUAUUUUUCAGUUUUCUUCUGUUUGGCAAUUAUUACAAAUAAAACAAUACAUCCGACAUGUCCCAG